rnacentral:rRNA from 1 species
UAUCAGGUAGUAGUGGGUGUAGCGUACCUACUAGCCUACGACGGGUACGGGUUGUGAGAGCAAGAGCCCGGAGAUGGAUUCUGAGACACGAAUCCAGGCCCUACGGGGUGCAGCAGGCGCGAAAACUUUACAAUGCUGGCAACAGCGAUAAGGGAACCUCGAGUGCCAGGUUACAAAUCUGGCUGUCGAGAUGCCUAAAAAGCAUUUCAUAGCAAGGGCCGGGCAAGACCGGUGCCAGCCGCCGCGGUAACACCGGCGGCUCGAGUGGUAACCGUUAUUAUUGGGUCUAAAGGGUCUGUAGCCGGCCGGAUAAGUCUCUUGAGAAAUCUGGCAGCUUAACUGUCAGGCUUUCAGGAGAUACUGUCUGGCUCGAGGCCGGGAGAGGUGAGAGGUACUUCAGGGGUAGGGGUGAAAUCUUGUAAUCCUUGAAGGACCACCAGUGGCGAAGGCGUCUCACCAGAACGGACCUGACGGCAAGGGACGAAAGCUAGGGGCACGAACCGGAUUAGAUACCCGGGUAGUCCUAGCCGUAAACGAUACUCGCUAGGUGUCGGCCACGGUGCGACCGUUGUCGGUGCCGUAGGGAAGCCGUGAAGCGAG